UACGUAGGGUGCGAGCGUUAAUCGGAAUUACUGGGUUUAAAGGGUGCGUAGGUGGUCCGUUAAGUUCGUUGUGAAAUCCCUGGGCUCAACCCAGGAAAUGCUUCGAAUACUGGCGGACUUGAGGCUAGUAGAGGUCACUGGAACUGACGGUGGAGCGGUGAAAUGCGUAGAUAUCGUCAGGAACGCCGAUGGUGAAGACAGGUGACUGGGCUAGUUCUGACACUGAGGCACGAAAGCGUGGGGAGCGAACGGG
rnacentral:rRNA from 1 species